rnacentral:rRNA from 1 species
AUUGAACGUUGGCGGCAGGCCUAAAACAUGCAAGUCGAACGGAAACAGUGGAAGCUUGCUUCCAGCUGUCGAGUGGCGAACGGGUGAGUAACGCGUAGGAAUCUACCCAGUAGUGGGGGACAACCCGGGGAAACCCGGGCUAAUACCGCAUACGCUCUGCGGAGGAAAGCGGGGGAUCUUCGGACCUCGCGCUAUUGGAGGAGCCUGCGUCGGAUUAGCUAGUUGGUAGGGUAAAGGCCUACCAAGGCGACGAUCCGUAGCUGGUCUGAGAGGACGACCAGCCACACUGAAACUGAGACACGGUCCAGACUCCUACGGGAGGCAGCAGUUAGGAAUCUUGGGCAAUGGGCGCAAGCCUGACCCAGCCAUGCCGCGUGUGUGAAGAAGGCCCUCGGGUUGUAAAGCACUUUCAGUGGUGAAGAAAAGCGCGAGGCUAAUACCCUCGAGUCUUGACGUUAGCUACAGAAGAAGCACCGGCUAACUCCGUGCCAGCCGCCGCCGUAACAC